CCUACGGGAGGCAGCAGUGAGGAAUUUUCCGCAAUGGGCGAAAGCCUGACGGAGCAAUGCCGCGUGGAGGAUGACAGCCUGUGGGUCGUAAACUCCUUUUCUCAGAGAAGAAGUUCUGACGGUAUCUGAGGAAUAAGCAUCGGCUAACUCCGUGCCAGCAGCCGCGGUAAGACGGAGGAUGCAAGCGUUAUCCGGAAUGAUUGGGCGUAAAGCGUCUGUAGGUGGUUUAGUAAGUCUCCUGUUAAAGAUCAGGGCUUAACCCUGAGUCGGCAGUAGAAACUACUGAGCUUGAGUACGGUAGGGGCAGAGGGAAUUCCCGGUGUAGCGGUGAAAUGCGUAGAGAUCGGGAAGAACACCAAUGGCGAAAGCACUCUGCUGGGCCAAAACUGACACUCAGAGACGAAAGCUAGGGGAGCGAAUGGGAUUAGAUACCCCAGUAGUCCUAGCCGUAAACGAUGGAUACUAAGUGCUGUGUGACUAAAAACAGACAGUACUGUAGCUAACGCGUGAAGUAUCCCGCCUGGGGAGUAUGCUCGCAAGAGUGAAACUCAAAUGAAUUGACGG
rnacentral:rRNA from 1 species